AGCCCAUUUCCGCUUGCAAGACAUCUCGAUCUCUCGACGUCAACAGCAGCUUGCAUCCUAUGACUUUGUUAUCAUGACCGCAAGGAAUGCCGACUGAUUUCAAGUCCAGCGGCUCCCACAAGUUGUCCAGUAUUAUGAGCACCUUCUUCUUCUUCUUCUUCCUCUCAUUCUUCUCCUCCUCUUU